GUCGAGCGGAGAGAGGUAGCUUGCUACUGAUCUUAGCGGCGGACGGGUGAGUAAUGCUUAGGAAUCUGCCUAUUAGUGGGGGACAACAUUUCGAAAGGAAUGCUAAUACCGCAUACGUCCUACGGGAGAAAGCAGGGGAUCUUCGGACCUUGCGCUAAUAGAUGAGCCUAAGUCGGAUUAGCUAGUUGGUGGGGUAAAGGCCUACCAAGGCGACGAUCUGUAGCGGGUCUGAGAGGAUGAUCCGCCACACUGGGACUGAGACACGGCCCAGACUCCUACGGGAGGCAGCAGUGGGGAAUAUUGGACAAUGGGCGCAAGCCUGAUCCAGCCAUGCCGCGUGUGUGAAGAAGGCCUUAUGGUUGUAAAGCACUUUAAGCGAGGAGGAGGCUACUUUAGUUAAUACCUAGAGAUAGUGGACGUUACUCGCAGAAUAAGCACCGGCUAACUCUGUGCCAGCAGCCGCGGUAAUACAGAGGGUGCAAGCGUUAAUCGGAUUUACUGGGCGUAAAGCGCGCGUAGGCGGCUAAUUAAGUCAAAUGUGAAAUCCCCGAGCUUAACUUGGGAAUUGCAUUCGAUACUGGUUAGCUAGAGUGUGGGAGAGGAUGGUAGAAUUCCAGGUGUAGCGGUGAAAUGCGUAGAGAUCUGGAGGAAUACCGAUGGCGAAGGCAGCCAUCUGGCCUAACACUGACGCUGAGGUGCGAAAGCAUGGGGAGCAAACAGGAUUAGAUACCCUGGUAGUCCAUGCCGUAAACGAUGUCUACUAGCCGUUGGGGCCUUUGAGGCUUUAGUGGCGCAGCUAACGCGAUAAGUAGACCGCCUGGGGAGUACGGUCGCAAGACUAAAACUCAAAUGAAUUGACGGGGGCCCGCACAAGCGGUGGAGCUUGUGGUUUAAUUCGAUGCAACGCGAAAACCUUACCUGGCCUUGACAUAAU
rnacentral:rRNA from 1 species